CUAGUAUAAGCAAUCUAUACGGUGAAACUGCGAAUGGCUCAUUAAAUCAGUUAUCGUUUAUUUGAUAGUACCUUACUACUUGGAUAACCGUGGUAAUUCUAGAGCUAAUACAUGCUAAAAACCCCGACUUACGAAGGGGUGUAUUUAUUAGAUAAAAAACCAAUGCCCUUCGGGGCUCCUUGGUGAUUCAUAAUAACUUAACGAAUCGCAUGGCCUUGUGCCGGCGAUGGUUCAUUCAAAUUUCUGCCCUAUCAACUUUCGAUGGUAGAGUAGUGGUCUACCAUGGUUUCAACGGGUAACGGGGAAUUAGGGUUCUAUUCCGGAGAGGGAGCCUGAGAAACGGCUACCACAUCCAAGGAAGGCAGCAGGCGCGCAAAUUACCCAAUCCCGACACGGGGAGGUAGUGACAAUAAAUACUGAUACAGGGCUCUUUUGGGUCUUGUAAUUGGAAUGAGUACAAUUUAAAUCCCUUAACGAGGAACAAUUGGAGGGCAAGUCUGGUGCCAGCAGCCGCGGUAAUUCCAGCUCCAAUAGCGUAUAUUAAAGUUGUUGCAGUUAAAAAGCUCGUAGUUGAACCUUGGGCCUGGCUGGCCGGUCCGCCUCACCGCGUGCACUGGUCCGGCCGGGUCUUUCCUCCUGGGGAGCUGCAUGCCCUUCACUGGGUGUGUCAGGGAACCAGGACUUUUACUUUGAAAAAAUUAGAGUGUUCAAAGCAGGCCUAUGCUCGAAUACAUUAGCAUGGAAUAAUAGAAUAGGACGUGUGGUUCUAUUUUGUUGGUUUCUAGGACCGCCGUAAUGAUUAAUAGGGAUAGUCGGGGGCAUCAGUAUUCAAUUGUCAGAGGUGAAAUUCUUGGAUUUAUUGAAGACUAACUACUGCGAAAGCAUUUGCCAAGGAUGUUUUCAUUAAUCAGUGAACGAAGUUAGGGGAUCGAAGACGAUCAGAUACCGUCGUAGUCUUAACCAUAAACUAUGCCGACUA
rnacentral:rRNA from 1 species